CCUACGGGGCGCAGCAGUGGGGAAUAUUGGACAAUGGGCGAAAGCCUGAUCCAGCCAUGCCGCGUGUGUGAAGAAGGCCUUCGGGUUGUAAAGCACUUUCAGUGGGGAAGAAAGCCUUGGGGCUAAUACCCUCGAGGAAGGACAUCACCCACAGAAGAAGCACCGGCUAACUCCGUGCCAGCAGCCGCGGUAAUACGGAGGGGUGCGAGCGUUAAUCGGAAUUACUGGGCGUAAAGCGCGCGUAGGCGGUCUGAUAAGCCGGUUGUGAAAGCCCCGGGCUCAACCUGGGAACGGCAUCCGGAACUGUCAGGCUAGAGUGCAGGAGAGGAAGGUAGAAUUCCCGGUGUAGCGGUGAAAUGCGUAGAGAUCGGGAGGAAUACCAGUGGCGAAGGCGGCCUUCUGGACUGACACUGACGCUGAGGUGCGAAAGCGUGGGUAGCAAACAGGAUUAGAUACCCCGGUAGUC
rnacentral:rRNA from 1 species